rnacentral:tRNA from 1 species
GCAUUAGUAGCUCAGACAGAGUAUUGGUCUUGUAAACCAAAGGUCGGAAACUAGUCUUUCCCUAGUGCU